rnacentral:rRNA from 1 species
CAACGUGAGCAAUCUGCCUAAGAUGUGGGGGAUAGCCGGCCCAACGGCCGGGUAAUACCGCAUACGCUCGAGACCAGGCAUUUGGACUCGAGGAAAUCUACGGAGCAAUUCGAGGGGCUCGCGGCCUAUCAGCUAGUUGGCGGGGUAACGGCCCACCAAGGCGACGACGGGUAGCUGGUCUGAGAGGAUGGCCAGCCACAUUGGGACUGAGAGACGGCCCAG